GAUGAACGCUGGCGGCGUGCCUAAUACAUGCAAGUCGAGCGAACAGACAAGAAGCUUGUUCUCCUGACGUUGGCGGCGGACGGGUGAGUAACACAUGCAUAACAUACCUAUUAGACUGGGAUAACUUCGGGAAGAAAGAUACAAUAACAGAUAAUACAUCGUACCGCAUGAUUCAAUAGUGAUAGACAGUUUUCCCGUUACUAAUAGAUGGUUCCGGGUCGCAUUAGCUAGUUGGUAAGGUAACGGCCUACCAAGGCAACGAUGCGUAGCCGACCUGAGAGGAUGAUCGGCCACACUGGAACUGAGACACGGUCCAGACUCCUACGGGAGGCAGCAGUGGGGAAUAUUCGGCAAUGGGCGAAAGCCUGACGCAGCAACACCGCGUGAGUGAUGAAGGUCUUCGGGUCGUAAAGCUCUGUUGUUGGGAAAGAACAGAUGUAUAAUUAACUAUGCACGUCUUGACGGUACCUAAACAGAAAGCCACGGCUAACUACGUG
rnacentral:rRNA from 1 species